rnacentral:rRNA from 1 species
UUUGAUCCUGGCUCAGGAUGAACGCUGGCGGUAUGCCUUACACAUGCAAGUCGAACGAAAAUUAGCUUCGGUUAAUUUGCCUUUAGGAGGGGGAUAACGAGUGGAAACAUUCGCUAAAACCCCAUAUGCCCACGGGUGAAAAAGAGGAAACUCUGCCUGAAGAGAAGCUCGCGGCUGAUUAGCUAGUUGGUAGGGUAAUGGCCUACCAAGGCGACGAUCAGUAGCUGGUCUGAGAGGACGAUCAGCCACACUGGAACUGAGACACGGUCCAGACUCCUACGGGAGGCAGCAGUGAGGAAUUUUCUGCAAUGGGCGAAAGCCUGACAGAGCAAUACCGCGUGAGGGAUGAAGACUUACUGAGUUGUAAACCUCGGUGCCUUAAGGAAGAAGAUCUGACGGUACUUAAGGUGGAAAGCAUCGGCUAACUCCGUGCCAGCAGCCGCGGUAAGACGGGGGAUGCAAGUGUUAUCCGGAAUCACUGGGCGUAAAGCGUCUGCAGGUGGGUUUCCUAAGUCCACUGUUAAACCUUGAGGCUCAACCUCAAAUCUGCAUUGGAAACUAGGAGACUUGAGUAUAGUAGGGGUAGAGGGAAUUUCCAGUGGAGCGGUGAAAUGCGUAGAUAUUGGAAAGAACACCGAUGGCGAAGGCACUCUACUGGGCUAUUACUGACACUCAGAGACGAAAGCUAGGGGAGCAAAUGGGAUUAGAUACCCCAGUAGUCCUAGCCGUAAACGAUGGAUACUCG